rnacentral:rRNA from 1 species
AAUGAACGCUGGCGGCGCGCCUAAUACAUGCAAGUCGAGCGAGAAGACGUAGCAAUACGUUUGUAAAGCGGCGAACGGGUGAGGAAUACAUGGGUAACCUACCCUCGAGUGGGGAAUAACUAGCCGAAAGGUUAGCUAAUACCGCGUACGCUUCUUGGACUUCGGUUCAGGGAGGAAAGCGAUGCCGAGGGUAUCGCGCUCUUGGAUGGGCUCAUGUCCUAUCAGCUUGUUGGNGAGGUACGGCUCACCAAGGCUUCGACGGGUAGCUGGUCUGAGAGGACGAUCAGCCAC